GACGAACGCUGGCGGCGUGCUUAACACAUGCAAGUCGAACGGAAAGGCCCUGCUUUUGUGGGGUGCUCGAGUGGCGAACGGGUGAGUAACACGUGAGUAACCUGCCCUCGACUUUGGGAUAACUUCAGGAAACUGGGGCUAAUACCGGAUAGGAGCUCCUGCUGCAUGGUGGGGGUUGGAAAGUUUCGGCGGUUGGGGAUGGACUCGCGGCUUAUCAGCUUGUUGGUGGGGUAGUGGCUUACCAAGGCUGUGACGGGUAGCCGGCCUGAGAGGGUGACCGGCCACAUUGGGACUGAGAUACGGCCCAGACUCCUACGGGGGGCAGCAGUGGGGAAUAUUGCACAAUGGGCGGAAGCCUGAUGCAGCAACGCCGCGUGCGGGAUGACGGCCUUCGGGUUGUAAACCGCUUUCGCCUGUGACGAAGCGUGAGUGACGGUAAUGGGUAAAGAAGCACCGGCUAACUACGUG
rnacentral:rRNA from 1 species